UCCCCGAUGGUCUAGUGGUUAAGACUCUACACUGCCAAUGCAGGGGGCCUGGGUUUGAUCCCUGGUCAGGGAA
rnacentral:tRNA from 1 species